GACGAACGCUGUCGGCGUGCUUAACACAUGCACGUCGAACGGAAAGGCCCUGCUUUUGUGGGGUGCUCGAGUGGCGAACGGGUGAGUAACCCGUGAGUAACCUGCCCUUGACUUUGGGAUAACUUCAGGAAACUGGGGCUAAUACCGGAUAGGAGCUCCUGCUGCAUGGUGGGGGUUGGAAAGUUUCGGCGGUUGGGGAUGGACUCGCGGCUUAUCAGCUUGUUGGUGGGGUAGUGGCUUACCAAGGCUUUGACGGGUAGCCGGCCUGAGAGGGUGACCGGCCACAUUGGGACUGAGAUACGGCCCAGACUCCUACGGGAGGCAGCAGUGGGGAAUAUUGCACAAUGGGCGGAAGCCUGAUGCAGCAACGCCGCGUGCGGGAUGACGGCCUUCGGGUUGUAAACCGCUUUCGCCUGUGACGAAGCGUGAGUGACGGUAAUGGGUAAAGAAGCACCGGCUAACUACGUG
rnacentral:rRNA from 1 species